rnacentral:lncRNA from 1 species
CUGUUAGAGUGGAAUGCUUGGGAGAGAUGUUUGGAGUGCUGAGACAUGUUAGUACUACAACUUGCUGCACAGUUUGGAGGAAGAAGGCUACCUUCACCUGUCGAAUUCUAUCCACCUCUUCUGUGUGGGAUAUGUGUUCCUACCUCGUCUGCGAGCAGAUCUGCAGCAUUCCACAGAGAGUUGGAAUAGUCACCCAUUAAGUAGAGAGGCGUAUCUGACACCUCACCAGCUGUGGCAUGUCGGAAUGCUCCAAACACCUGUGUCUGAACCAGACUAUGCAGAGGUAAAGUAAUGACCUACCUAAAGUACAGAGAGAUCCUCAUGAGAGAGCUGCUGGAGGAGCACCACACCCCUCUGCGCCGAUCCACUGGGGGUCGUCCUGCUGCGGACAAUCCCCUACGCAUCACUGUACGGCCUUUUCCCUGCAAAGUCCCUCAAACUACUUCUCAAGGUAGUCACACACGGAGGCACUGCAAAGUCUGCCUGUCUGGCACCAGGAGAAGGAAGCAGAGGAGGUUGACAAAGUACAUGUGGGUUACAAGCUAAACACCUCUGUGUUUCACCAUGCUUCGGGGAGUAUCAUAUGCUCAAGCACUAUUGAGCACAUCUGCAGCAAUUACUGACUGACCUGACAGGUGGAUUGACAGGUGACCUGCCAUGAUACUAUGCCUUUAGAGGUGGGGG